rnacentral:sRNA from 1 species
UGAAUAAGAACGCCGAAUUUCAAGUGAAAACGGGGGAACCAAUUUUUUGGGGUGAAUUUCGUUGGGACGGUUUAGUCCGCGAAUAGGGCAACCUGUGCAUGCCCGAAUCCGUCAGCUAACCUCGUAGGCGUCGUGCAUGCAGGA